AUUUAUAUAGUUUAAAUAAAACAUUACAGUUUCAUUGUAAAAUUAAAAUCAAUUUUUAUAAAUA
rnacentral:tRNA from 1 species